ACCGCCCUCCCUCGCUGCCUUUCGUGCAUGUGUCGGAGAGUCACCACCACCACGCACGCUCACCCACCCACGCACACACACACGCACACCUCUCUCUCUCUCCUGUCCUCCUUGCGCUCUGAGUCAUUGCCAGUGUGUGGUCGGCAGCGCCAACAGACCGCGCCGGUCCUCCUCCUGUUGUUGUUUGCUUACUUAUUCCUCCUCCGCCUUUGGUUUGCUUGUGCUAGCCUCUCGGUGCUGCUGUGUGCAACUUGUGGUGCCUCCCCCCUUCCCCCUCACACGUGCCCGUCAAAGCAGCUUUCGUAGUAUACAUUGGUCUCUCUCUUCCCCUCCCCUCUGUGUUUCCUGCAUUGGCGUCUCGCCCUGCGUGUGCGUGUGCGUGUGUGGGUGCAUCGUGGCGCUUCGACGGAGCUGAUUUCCAGUGCGUGCUGCACUGACUGGCCUGCCACGCAGCGCCUCGAAUCCGCCCCCCUCCCCCCCCCUCUCCCCGGCCACUCUUCUGUACCCUGUUUAUCUCAGUGCUCUCUAUCCUUAUCCAUACGCGCACAACACCGCGCUGGCCACACGGCAAGAUGGAUCACGGUAGCGCCGAUCGGAGGAUUAGCUUCCGGUCGUCGUCGCCGUCGUCCCCGGCGAACGUGUCAAGCUCAACGCCGGUGAGCAACAAGCAACUCAGCCCGCCCACCGGCAGCCUGCGUGCGCGUCGGUUUCCAUCACAGCGCGUGGUGUGCGCCGAUGGGAACCACCACACCUACAGUCACAACAACAGCAUUGGCAGCGCCGGAGGCGGCAUCGUGGCAAUUGCGCGGUUGGAGAGUCAGGAGUUGUUUGGAACCUAUCCUGCGAUGCCGGCCCUGCAGCACCGUCAUCCGAGCGACUCGAUCGUGCCCCUCUUGGGGAGGCCAAGCUUGGACUCGAUGUGCGAGCUCUUAUCGAACACCUCCCCCAGCUUGCAGGCGGCGGUCCCGACUUUUUCCUUCUACGCGGCCAAAGACAACGCCGCCGUGCAGGACUGCUGCACCCUCGCGAACCAACACUCAGUGCCGAAGAGCGUGACCGUCAUCUACUCGCAGCCCUCCUCGCCCAGCGACGCCUACUUGCGCGGGGCGGACCACGUCAGCGCCCGCGGCAUAUCCGUUACGGAGGACGAUGCGAAUGAAGAUCGGGUGAAGGUGCGUGUCGAAGGCUACUACGAGAACAACGGUGUCGGUGUGCUGAUCCCGAACGACCUGCCGCCAAGCACGCUGCUCUACGUCCUCACCGCCUCCGACGGCCGUGAUUUGAUGUUCAAGCUCAUCCAGUACAGCCUGCAGCUCACCAUCUGCUUCCUGAAGACGCCGUCGCUAUUCUCGCCCGAGGCGCAGAUGCUGAUGGGCCCGAUGGCGGAGCGGCUUUACCGCAACUACAAUACGAUCCGCCACGGCCGCAGUCUGUUCAAGAUGGGUCGCGGCCUGCUCAACCUCUUCACACUGCAGACAGUGUGCGAGCGAAUGUGGAUGAAGUACAAGAGCGGCAUCUCCCGCACCACGUGCACCGUCAUGCUGCCCGUCGUCUCGUGCCUGGAGAAGGGGCUGAUGUCCAUGGGGGCUUCGCCGUUGUGGGGCCGGUACUUGUCGUGUCGGCUGCUGCGCUGGACGCAGGCUGCCCAGGUUACGCCGGGGCAGGGCCGCAGCGAGGAGCCCGAGGACUCGGUGGUGCCGGACUGGCGCAUUCAGCAGCGCGCGCAUGAGCAGCCGUCCGCGCCGUCGGCGAAGGACACGCUGCUGACGGACGGCGUGUACACCACCUCGGGUGUGGAGAAGGCUGAGCGAUCGGUGACGGCCGCGCAGGCUGCCAGCGGGAGCGUCGCUGGCCUGAAGUCUCUCAAGGGCAACAUCGGCUUCGCGCUACGAAAGGUAGAUGGCUGCCCGGGCGGCGGCGGCGUCGGCGGCGGCGUCGGCGGCGGCGGUGCGGGUUCGUCGCAGCCCACGCCUCCAUGCGCGAUGGUGGAUAGUCAGACAAGCACGUCGAGGAUACAAUCUGAGCAACCGUCCCCCACCACGGGCGACGGCGCGGCCAGCAAGGGCAUGGGUAAGCUCUCGCUGCUUCCGCGCGCGCCUUCUGGUGGCCUGUCGGCGGAAGGUUGGGGCGGAAGGGCAUCCAAGAUUGCCACAGCCUCGCCAACACCGAACGCGGAAAGUAAGCGUGAGCCCAGUGACCCUGGUGCGCUGCCGUGUGUGCCCUCCGGCCCCGCUGCCGGCUCCGCCUCCACAACGUCCUCUGGCGAGGAGGGCACCGCUGCGCCACGAGCGAAGCCGCCGCACGUCACGGACACACUGCUUUUCGGUCUCGAGAUCGGCCACCAGCAGCACCAGCGGCACGGCCUGACGCCGUCCACCACCGCCAACGCGACAGCCAGCACCUUCAGCCUUGCGACGGCAGCCACGGCCCCCAUACUGAGUGCGCACUACACAGCAGACUGGGUCGACAACGCCGGUCGUAAAACGCUUCUGCACCCGCUGAAGCAGUCUUCGAGCAUCAACACCCCUACCCCGACCGCGAACAGCAGCAUCACGGGCGACGAUGUGGGCGAUCACCUCCACGAGGGUGUGGAGAACAGCAUCAUCCACAACGGAACACCAAUGAUGCCUGCGGCGCGCUCGCCGUCGUACGGAUCCAUAACGAGUCAGCUGAUGCCCGAGCUGGCGAGCGGUGGUGGUUUGACCCCUGCGGAUGGCCCAUUGUCGGUGCCGAACAACUGGCGCAUCGCCUGUGCGCCGACCGUGCCGCCGAGUUGCUCCGACGAGCUUGUCGUAGACUCGACGCUGCCGUGCUCCUCCGUCGAGUUGCUGAAGCCGCUGAAGUCAACCGAGGCGCUCUCUACGGUGGCAUCGCCGUCCGAAGAGAUGACAAAGGUGGACGGCACCACGAACUCCAGCUUCACAGCCAACAGCGCCGACACGCGCACGCCGCCACCGCAGUUGUUGUCUGUGGCGGGCGUGUCCACGAGCAUGCAGGCUGCCACGGCGUCAUCGGUCGACAACACCGGCACGGCGAUUUACGAUAUCGAGCGGAACGGCCGUCACGCAUCGCCCUUGCGCGAUCGCUGCACUGUCUCCGCGCGCUCCCCUCAGCUGCCGGUGACCGCCGUUUUGCCGGCCUCCGAGUUGCCUGUGAUGACGCCCACGAGAGCCGCCUCCGCCCUCGACGACGACCCCCCGCUGCCCGCGGCGACGGACGGCAAGGAAAGCGACAUCAGCCUCAUCUCCUCCAGCACGUCCAGCUGCUUGCAAGAGCGUCAGGGCAGCCAUGCCGGGGCGCUCUCGACGUAUUUGCGGGAGUUGCAGCCGGCAUCUGCCGCGCUGCCGGCACGAUGGCGCAAAGGUGUGUUGCAGUUCAACCCGGUGCUCAUGACGCUUCUCGGCAUUCGCAACUUGGCUGCGGCGUGUCGCCGAUUCCUGCGCGACAUCACUCUCGUCUCCACGGAGCGCUUUGGCACCUUGAGGUUCGUCGAGGUGCACCGCCACGCCAUCACCCACAUCAUCAACCGCUGCUGGCUCGUGGUGUCCAUCAUCGACCUGCUGCUCAAUACGGCGCGACUGCUGCAGCCGGGCUGGGUCAAGUAUGCGACGGCGCGGCAGAACAUUCAUUGCCGGUGCGGCUGCUACGGCGACAACGACCCGUCCGACAAGGUGUGGCGCACGCACGGCUUCAUUGCGCGGCGCAAGACGGACCUCUUUUUCCCUCCGCUGGAUCUCGACUAUGGUGCGCCGUUUGUGUCGAGUCUCUCCUACGUGGAGGCGGCGGAUCCGGCGCAGCUGAUGGCGGCCUGCAGACGCUGCGGGUGUCUCUACCGCGAAGUCCUCUCCGAUUCAGAUCAGGAAGGAGAUGAGGCAGAGGCGGCGGAUGCGAGCGGUGGUGUGUCGAUGUCGCCGUCACGCACGCUCGCCGCAAUGUCGAAGGCGGCGGCGGCGGCCACUGCAGCGUCCUUCAGCGAGGACGGCCACCAUAGGGGAGAGAACCACCGUUCUGCGACACGGAAGUCCCUCAGUACGCCAGGCUUGGUGGAGCGCGAGAAGCCGCGUUGGGUGCAGCUAUACAACGAGGAGGUGAUGUCGGGUGAGUCGCAGCAGCAGCGCCUUCGUAGCCCUGGCACGCGGCAGGAGGGGCAAAGCCCCAGCAGUGGGGAGCCGCAGGACUCGCCCGUGGCGCAGCUGGAGAAGCCACGCAGCAACGGUACGCUGAAGAGCUCCGCCGGCGAUGGGCAGCCUGCAGACGAGAUACGCCAGCGUCGCAAGAGCGGUGCGGCUCGUGAGCGGCCAGCCGAAUCCUCGGCUGGUAUUCUCUUUGUGCCUUGGAUUAUGCGGAAGUUUUUCGACUACGUUUGGCUGCUGCGCGUGCACCCGAACCUGACGUCGACGGUUCUCCUGGAGGCGCGCUGCAUCGCCGAGCUCUAUCUCGCCUACAAGUACUGCUUUGGCAACUUUGAAACCUUCAUGUCUGAUGCCCCGCUGAGCGCCAUCCUCAACCCGUACGGUGCCUUGGCGGGCAUCGUGAGCGCCUCCGUGGGGCUGCUGCGCGUCGUGGAAAGCGCGCCAUCCUCGUAAAACGAAGAGCGAGAGACAGCGAAGUAUCUGUGUGCGGGCGGGGGGGGGGGGGGGGGGAAGACCGCCGGUAGAUAUGCAGGUUCUCGGCAGCGUGUGUGUGUGUGUGUGUGUGUGCAUGAGGUCGUGUUCGAGGCUGCUCCUGGCUCUGUGAAGGGGCGUACUCCGUAGUAGGUGUGAUGACGCUCUGUGCGAUGAUGGGUCUGUCUGGGUCUGUGUGCCGUGUCUCUACGUGAUGCCUCUCAUUGCUGACCUCCUUUUCUUCUUUCUUGCCUCACGGCGUUUCGUUGUGUGUUCGGGCGGAGGGUAGAGAUGCCCCCACCCUCUCCCCCAUCUUCUCUGUGCGGCCUGGCGGUCGCCUGCUGAUGUGUGUUCGCUGGAUGCUGGUCUGUGUGUGUGUGUGUCUUAUGUUAUUGUUUCUCUGAGCGCGGGCGCGCAUUGGCCGUUGUUGGUGAUGCGGGCGCACUCUCCGUGCUUACUCUUGUAGUGUUGGUGAAGGUUGCUGCGUGUGCGGGGCACGCCCCGUGUUUUUUAAGGCUAAGAUGACAGUCCAUCUAGCGCACAUCUGCCUCCCUCAUCAUCGCCGAUGGUACUGUAUACAUCGGCGUCUGCCCUACCCCUUCCCUCUUGCUGUGCGCUGCGUCAACACUUUUUAUACACAACAACGGCAAUGUAACGGUGCUGACGGCGUCGACAGCGCGUGUCGUCUGUCCUUCGCAUCGAAAGGUGAGCUGCAGAUCCGCCCCAAGGACAGGCAUCCGCCGCCGCCGCCGCCGCCCUUCCUCCUUCUCCUCCUCCCAUCCCAUCUUAUCCCAUCCCCCAUCCCUCCUCCCUCGGCACAAGCAAGCACUCGUGCAGCGACGCUUUCAUGUGGCCAUGUAUGGGGUACCCCUCUGUGCACGUGUGUGGGUGGGUGGGUGGGGGAGGGGGCCACUGUCUGUGAAACGAGGGAAGGGGACGGUAAAGGGUAUUCGAAGUGGGCAGCGAUUUCAGUACCUUGGGCUAGCACUAUAUAUAUAUAUAUAUCUUUAUAUAUGCUUGAUCGUGUGUGCUGCGAGUUGCCCACCCCACACCACCUCUUCUUCUCCCCGCACCUUAUCGUCUUCGUGCCAGUUUCGGUGCGUGGCGGGGUUUGCUUAACGAGGCACCUCCCCCUCCCCACGCCUUCUCUCUCUUCCCGCUCUUCCUCAGUCGAGGGUGAGAGACUACUAAAGACGAAAUUCGUUUUUUUUGUCCGUGUGUGCGCCGCACAACACACGCAUCCGCCCUUUCCUUCCCGUCUCGCCCGUGCCUCCCGUCACUCUCCCUCUCCGUUGUCGUUUUCGUAUGGGAGAUGCGACUGCAGAGAGAAGAGGAUAACGAUGAGGAGUGUAGUAGACUCGACCCCACCAUGCCCAUCCAUGUCUGUGUGCUUCUUGUCUAGCCCAUCGGUACGAGAAGGAAAAGCAAGCCAUGCGCAAUGAUGGGGAGGGGGUUGACGGGGAGCCCCACUGCGCAGCGGUGCACUGUUGCUGUGACGCGCUCCAAGCCCCUCCCCCCUCCCCGCUUCAAAUCGGUUGCUCUUCAUCGGUCACUCAUCCGUGUCUUGCCGAGCAAGCCUUCAUGUGAUGCCCCCGCCGUCUUCCUCUCCAAGUGUGUUCCCCUUUCCUUGCCGCCUCUCCUUCACUCUUG
rnacentral:misc_RNA from 1 species